GGUGCAUCCUGGGAACUUGAGAGAAACAUUUCCUCCUUCUCAUGGAGGUAGUGAGAUUCUGCCUUUUAAGAGAAGAUGCCUAAGAGACAGCAGAAUUUAUUUGCACUUCUUGCUGAGAUGUAGAACUGCUGUCUGGGGACAGUUUGAAGAGAGUCUUAGGGAUGUCAAGGGUAGCUUAGUAGUUGGGCUCUACGAAGUGAAAUUUCAAGCCUACUUUAGCACAUAAAUUUGUGGUUCAUAGCUUUAAAAUAAUAUUCUUGUUUUUUUCUUUCUUAGUUCAAUGGAUUGAAGAAAAUGUUCACGGAAGGAAGAUGAUUAAUUGAUCCAGAGGGCCUGUAGCAACUCUGUUUAACAUGCUAGAUGAGCCAGUCUUAUUCAGUGAUGACUAAGGAUCUAGAGAAAACUGGUGUCAGGUUGGUCUUCUUCUUCCCACCUAUUUUCAGUUGGCCUGCAGUUCCUAGGAUGUGUAUCCUGUAUGCUGGUCACCGGAAGAUAGGCAAAUUUUUGCUUUGUUGCUGGUUCUGGGACAACAGCCAUGAUGACUUCUUGGCAGUCAUUUGCAGACUAAGGUAGCUUUGAAGGUGAAGAUUCUUUGUGUUCAUUCUCAUCCUGAUGUAAAAAUACUACCUGAGACUGGAUAAUUUAUAAACAAAAGAGGUUUAAUUGAUUCACAGUUCCUCAUGCCUGGGGAGGCCUCAGGAAACUUACAAUCACAGCGGAAGGCAAAAGGGAAGAAGGCACCUUCUUCACAAGGUGGCAGGAGAGACAGUGAGGAAGUGCCAUACUUUAAAACCAUCAGCUCUCAUGAGACUUCACUCAUGAUCACGAGAACAGCAUGGGGAACCUUCUCCCAUGAUUCAAUCACCUCCCACCAGCUCCCUCCUCGACAUGUGGGGAUUACAAUUUGAGAUGAGAUUUGGGUGGGUACACAGAGACAAACCAUAUCUAUCAAUUCUGAAUGUUUAAUACCAGUAUUAUUAGAGGAGGAUCUAGUCCCCUUCAGGACAUAAGGAUCUAUGAUCCUCUGUCAGAACAUAUUAGACCCUUUCCUUUGGCUAUAACCAAAAGAUUAUAAACAUACAUCCAGGAAUAAAAAUAGUAUAUUAAAAUUGUGUGUGUGUGUGUGUGUACGAAUGUAAAUUUUUUGUGCCAAAUCUAAAGACUCUUUACCUAGUCCUAAUGUGUCUUGAAGAUCUUCUGCAGUUUUUUUUCUAGAAAUUUUAUAGUUUUAUGUUUUACAUUUAAGUCUGUGAUUCAUUUUUAGUUAAUUUUUUUUGUAUAAGAUGUGAAGCUUAGGUUAAGGUUCAUGUUUUUGCCUAUGGUUGUUCAAUUGCUCUAAUAGCAUUUAUUGAAAAGGUUAAUGAUUUAUUUGUACUUCUGCCAAAAUUAAUUGAUCAUACUCAUGUGGUCAUACUUCCGCUUUCUCUGUUUUAUACCACUUAGCUUUGUCUAUCUUGCUAUCAAUACCACACUGUCUUGAUUACUGUAGCUAUAUAUUACUGUAGCUAUAUAGUAAACUUUAAUAAAAGGAAGAUGAACUUUCUUCUUCUUUUUUCAAAAUCGUUUUGGCUGUUUAAGGUCUUUUUCUUUUGGUAUACAUUUUAGAGUAAAAGUACAUACUUCUGUGAAAUACCUUACUAAGCUUCUGAUAGGAAAUACGAUAACACUGUAGAACAGUUUAGGGAGGACUGGUAUCUUUACUAAAUCUUCUAACCCAUAAACAUGAUAUUUAGGUCUUCUUGUCUUUCACCAACAUUUUGUAAUUUUCAACAUGUAGAUUCUAUACAAUUUUGUUGAGAUUAUGUCAUCUGUGAAUAAAGACUGUUUUAUUUCUUUUCCAAUUUGUAUGCCUUUUAUUUUUUUGUGUGCUUGUUAUAAUGACUAGAACUUCCAGUAAUACGUUGAAUAAUAGUGCUGAAAACAGAUUUCCUUGCCUUGUUCCUGAUCUUAGAGUGAAAGCAUUUAGCCUUUCACCAUUAUGUAUUACAUAGAUAUUGUUUCUUUUUUUUGUGUAUGUAAUUUCUUAUUAUGAGAUUAAGGAAGUUCCCUUCUAUUCCUAGUGUAUUGAAAGUUUUUAUAAUGAAUGGGUGUUGAAUUUUGU
rnacentral:lncRNA from 10 species